AUGAAGAACGCAGCGAAAUGCGAUAAGUAAUGUGAAUUGCAGAAUUCAGUGAAUCAUCGAAUCUUUGAACGCACCUUGCGCUCCUUGGUAUUCCGAGGAGCAUGCCUGUUUGAGUGUCAUGAAAUCUUCAACCUAUAAGCUUUUGUGGUUUGUAGGCUUGGACUUGGAGGCUUGUCGGCCUUGAUCGGUCGGCUCCUCUUAAAUGCAUUAGCUUGAUUCCUUGCGGAUCGGCUCUCGGUGUGAUAAUAUCUACGCCGCGACCGUGAAGCGUUUGGCGAGCUUCUAACCGUCUCACUUGAGAGACAACUUUAUGACCUCUGACCUCAAAUCAGGUAGGACUACCCGCUGAACUUAA
rnacentral:sRNA from 1 species